rnacentral:rRNA from 1 species
CCGGCGAUGUCCGAAUGGGGAAACCCAGUGCAAUUCGUUGCACUAUCGUUAACUGAAUACAUAGGUUAACGAGGCGAACCGGGGGAACUGAAACAUCUAAGUACCCCGAGGAAAAGAAAUCAACCGAGAUUCCCCCAGUAGCGGCGAGCGAACGGGGAGCAGCCCAGAGUCUGAAUCAGCUUGUGUGUUAGUGGAACGGUCUGGAAAGUCCGACGGUACAGGGUGAUAGUCCCGUACACCAAAAUGCACAGGUUGUGAACUCGAAGAGUAGGGCGGGACACGUGGUAUCCUGUCUGAAUAUGGGGGGACCAUCCUCCAAGGCUAAAUACUCCUGACUGACCGAUAGUGAACCAGUACCGUGAGGGAAAGGCGAAAAGAACCCCGGCGAGGGGAGUGAAAAAGAACCUGAAACCGUGUACGUACAAGCAGUGGGAGCACCUUCGGGUGUGACUGCGUACCUUUUGUAUAAUGGGUCAGCGACUUAUAUUCUGUAGCAAGGUUAACCGUAUAGGGGAGCCGCAGGGAAACCGAGUCUUAACUGGGCGUUAAGUUGCAGGGUAUAGACCCGAAACCCGGUGAUCUAGCCAUGGGCAGGUUGAAGGUUGGGUAACACUAACUGGAGGACCGAACCGACUAAUGUUGAAAAAUUAGCGGAUGACUUGUGGCUGGGGGUGAAAGGCCAAUCAAACCGGGAGAUAGCUGGUUCUCCCCGAAAGCUAUUUAGGUAGCGCCUCGUGAACUCAUCUUCGGGGGUAGAGCACUGUUUCGGCUAGGGGGUCAUCCCGACUUACCAACCCGAUGCAAACUACGAAUACCGAAGAAUGUUAUCACGGGAGACACACGGCGGGUGCUAACGUCCGUCGUGAAGAGGGAAACAACCCAGACCGCCAGCUAAGGUCCCAAAGUCAUGGUUAAGUGGGAAACGAUGUGGGAAGGCACAGACAGCCAGGAUGUUGGCUUAGAAGCAGCCAUCAUUUAAAGAAAGCGUAAUAGCUCACUGGUCGAGUCGGCCUGCGCGGAAGAUGUAACGGGGCUAAACCAUGCACCGAAGCUGCGGCAGCGACACUAUGUGUUGUUGGGUAGGGGAGCGUUCUGUAAGCCUGCGAAGGUGACCUGUGAGGGUUGCUGGAGGUAUCAGAAGUGCGAAUGCUGACAUAAGUAACGAUAAAGCGGGUGAAAAGCCCGCUCGCCGGAAGACCAAGGGUUCCUGUCCAACGUUAAUCGGGGCAGGGUGAGUCGACCCCUAAGGCGAGGCCGAAAGGCGUAGUCGAUGGGAAACAGGUUAAUAUUCCUGUACUUGGUGUUACUGCGAAGGGGGGACGGAGAAGGCUAUGUUAGCCGGGCGACGGUUGUCCCGGUUUAAGCAUGUAGGCUGGUUAUCCAGGCAAAUCCGGAUAAUCAAGGCUGAGGUGUGAUGACGAGGCACUACGGUGCUGAAGUAACAAAUGCCCUGCUUCCAGGAAAAGCCUCUAAGCAUCAGGUAACAUUAAAUCGUACCCCAAACCGACACAGGUGGUCAGGUAGAGAAUACCAAGGCGCUUGAGAGAACUCGGGUGAAGGAACUAGGCAAAAUGGUGCCGUAACUUCGGGAGAAGGCACGCUGGUGUGUAGGUGAAGUCCCUGCGGAUGGAGCUGAGACCAGUCGAAGAUACCAGCUGGCUGCAACUGUUUAUUAAAAACACAGCACUGUGCAAACACGAAAGUGGACGUAUACGGUGUGACGCCUGCCCGGUGCCGGAAGGUUAAUUGAUGGGGUUAUCCGUAAGGAGAAGCUCUUGAUCGAAGCCCCGGUAAACGGCGGCCGUAACUAUAACGGUCCUAAGGUAGCGAAAUUCCUUGUCGGGUAAGUUCCGACCUGCACGAAUGGCGUAAUGAUGGCCAGGCUGUCUCCACCCGAGACUCAGUGAAAUUGAACUCGCUGUGAAGAUGCAGUGUACCCGCGGCAAGACGGAAAGACCCCGUGAACCUUUACUAUAGCUUGACACUGAACAUUGAGCCUUGAUGUGUAGGAUAGGUGGGAGGCUUUGAAGCGUGGACGCCAGUCUGCGUGGAGCCAACCUUGAAAUACCACCCUUUAAUGUUUGAUGUUCUAACGUUGGCCCCUUACCGGGGUUGCGGACAGUGUCUGGUGGGUAGUUUGACUGGGGCGGUCUCCUCCCAAAGCGUAACGGAGGAGCACGAAGGUUAGCUAAUCCUGGUCGGACAUCAGGAGGUUAGUGCAAUGGCAUAAGCUAGCUUGACUGCGAGCGUGACGGCGCGAGCAGGUGCGAAAGCAGGUCAUAGUGAUCCGGUGGUUCUGAAUGGAAGGGCCAUCGCUCAACGGAUAAAAGGUACUCCGGGGAUAACAGGCUGAUACCGCCCAAGAGUUCAUAUCGACGGCGGUGUUUGGCACCUCGAUGUCGGCUCAUCACAUCCUGGGGCUGAAGUAGGUCCCAAGGGUAUGGCUGUUCGCCAUUUAAAGUGGUACGCGAGCUGGGUUUAGAACGUCGUGAGACAGUUCGGUCCCUAUCUGCCGUGGGCGCUGGAGAAUUGAGGGGGGCUGCUCCUAGUACGAGAGGACCGGAGUGGACGCAUCACUGGUGUUCGGGUUGUCAUGCCAAUGGCACUGCCCGGUAGCUAAAUGCGGAAGAGAUAAGUGCUGAAAGCAUCUAAGCACGAAACUUGCCCCGAGAUGAGUUCUCCCUGAGACUUUAAGUCUCCUGAAGGAACGUUAAAGACGAUGACGUUGAUAGGCCGGGUGUGUAAGCGCAGCGAUGCGUUGAGCUAACCGGUACUAAUGAACCGUGAGGCUUAACCUUACAACGCCGAAG